UUGAGAAAGACACACAGCCCUUUGAAUGUUUUACCCAAUGAAUCAUUAUAAUGUUUCCAGUGGGUCCAGGAGAUGCAAAGCAUCAUUGAAUCCAUUGUGUUUAUGGAAACGGAGGAGGAGAUGGCAUGAGAGCUGCCUUUGGAAAGGGGUAGGCAGACAAGGAGAUUCCCUGAGUCCCUGCAGUGGGCUCUGUGCAGGUGUCAGGCUUUCAAACCAUGGCAUAGCCACUAACUGCAGGAGGCAGGUGGUUUCAGCCACACCAAGGCCUGAGAAGCCAGCAGCUGGCUGGGAGCAGAGUCUUGCAGAGCAGGUUACCUGGGUGGUGCCAUGCAGUGCAGGGAGUCAUCCCGGGUGGGCUGUCCCAGGUAGGAGUCGUCCUGCGUGGGGAGUUCUGGGCAGGCGGGCCCUCCUGGCAACUUCCCUCUGGAACUAGCCUGGGCAUCUCUGCCUGCUCUGGCCUCCUGUGCUCACCCUGACCUGAGCCGCAGGGACAGGGCCUGUCACAGCCCGAGGCUCCAGGGAAUGUGCUGCAGCCUGGCCUUGGGCGCUCCUUUCCUGUCAUCCCAGGGACGGCAACAAAGGAAUUGGUGUCAAGUUGGAUGCUACUGCCCCUCUGCUCUCAGACGGUGGUCGGUCCGUGGGCCCAGCCCUGGCUUGCUGUUGACAGUUUGGAAGUCCUGGCAUUUCUCCGCCUCUCAGGGAAGAUUUGGGGGGACCUGCCUAUCUGGUGGCGUGGGUAGCAGCCGGGCCUCCACUCCCAAGACCCGAAGAGGGGACAGAUGAUGCCACCAUUGAGGCCACAGACUGAGACCAGCCCUGAGGCCCAUCCAUGGUCACGAUCAGCAUCUAAGCCCCUGGGCCUGGCAGGAGAGAAGUCGCCUCAGGAAUGUCAGACACCACGGCUUCAUGUCUCUGGCCACACGACGGCCCGGCUACUGGAUGGAGUCUGUCACACAGCCCGCAGUACUGAGUCAGUGCCCCGUGCCCAUAGGACGAGGUGGUGGACAGGUCCAGGCAGCAGACACUGGGGACUGACCCUUCUCCCUCUGUGUGGGGCUUCUCCUGGGCCUGCCUGCAUCUUGCUCACCUGCAGGCUCGGCAGCAUCAGGACAGUAAAGUGCCUCGCCAUGUGGGCCAUUUCCCCUGCUCUGUCAUCUUUAAAUAGACAGGGGAGCUGCUUCUUUGCAAAUCUGUCAGUACUCGGUGUCCCGUGGAUCUCUGCAAGUCCACGGGGUGCUCCAAUGUGGAAGAACCUUUCAUACAUAGUCAGGGGCUGUCCUUAAAGGAACCUCUUUUGCGGUUUUCACAGACACAAUCAUGGACCUGAGGACAGGUGCACAGGGGCCAAUCUCGACAGCUCAGUGAGGGCAAAGUGAGCUCCUUUCGCUAUUAUUACUGGCUACAUAGUCAGCAGGAGAGAACUUCCGGGUCUCACGCACAGAAGGGUGUGUCUCAGCCAGCCCUGCUGCUACGUCUCCACUGACUGAGGGACUUGGAAAUGAGACAUUCACCUCACAGUUCAGGAGGCUGGAAGUCCAGGGUAAGGCAGGAGGAGAGUGGACGUCUGGUGAGGCCCUACUUCUGGUUCACAGGUGACACCUUCUCACUGCUUCCUCAGUGGACAGAAGGGGCAGGAGAGUUCUCGGGGUCCCUUUUACAAGGGCACUGCUGCGAACUGAAUAUUUUGUUCUCUCAGCCUCCUGCUGCUUGAGUCAGUUCCGCCUUCUUUCUUUCCAGUCCGUACUCUCAUCCUUCCUGCUUGCCGUCCACACAGCCUGCCACUCCCCAACAAUGUUCCUGUCCACACAACCUGGCACACCCCAGCAACGUUCCCCGCCAACCGUUAGACCUCCACCUGGCAGUCCCAGGGCAUCUCCGCCCACCAAGCGCCAACAGGAGCUGGGCCUCUUCCUCCCGUGCAUUCCACACUCCAUCCACAGAGGCUUGGGCCACAGGCAAGCUCCUCUGGCCCCUUCACAGCGCCUCCAGGUGUGACAAGGAGUUGCGGGUCAGACCUGCUGCCUGAGUGCACCCUGGUUCCACGCCCAUUGCUGGCACCGUGACUCAAGGCCUCUCUUGCACCGGACUUCACAGCAUCUUGAAAACACUCAGCACAGUGUCUGCGCACUGUGGCCACUGCCCGUAUCGUCCGGCCGCCUUCACUUUUCAGAAACCCCAGUCCUGGGGGCCCUGUCUGUGCCAGCAGACCCUCAGUCAGACAGGAAGACACUGCUUUCCAUCACAGGAAUUAUUCUGUCACAUGUCCUCUGAUCUCAGGCUUCCAAGUGAGAAAAUGAAACCUGUCGUUCUGAAGUGGGAUCUUUUUGCUGAAGGACCAGCCUCAUCUAGAAAGGUUCAAUUCAAUGACAUCCUUACUGCAGUGUUGGGAGUUUCUGGCCUCAUCACAGCAGAGGCACUUUCUGCUGAGCCUCCCGCUGGGCAGGUGCUUUCUGGAGGGUCUGCAGAGUGGCGCCACACGGAGAGCCAUGCACUGAAAAGGACCACCCACGAAGUGCCUUCCCCUCCUCCCCACGGUGGGACAGCCUCUCAUCCUCCAAAAGUCUGCCGAGCGUGUGAGUUAACAGCACUCCUAAACGCUCACACCAAGCCUCCUCCCUGCUUCCAGGGCCUGGCCUGCAGUGCUGAGCCGUGUCAACCCCAAAUUUCUGUGUCGAAAUCCUAACCUGCAGUAUAAAUGGGAUUAGUGCCCUCAGGAAAGGCACUCCAGAAAGAACUGUUGCUCUUUUUUACAAAUGCAACAACCAACGGAGAAAUCAACUGUGUGCAACUGAAAGGGGACCUUCACCAGAACCCAGGCGCUGGUUGUGAUGGUCACUUUUGUGUGUCAACCUGGCUUAGCCACAGGGUGCCCAGACAGCUGGUAAAAUAUUAUUUCUGGGUGUAUCUGUGAGGCUGUUUCUGGAAGCAAUUAGCAGUUGAAUCCAUAGACUGGGUGAAGACCCACCCUCCCCAGAGUGAGCAGGCAGCCUCCAGUACACUGAGGGCCCCAGCAGAACACAAAGGUAGAGGCAGGGGACUCCUCCUCUCUCUCUCUUCUGCUCAGCAUUGGCGCUCCUGGUCCUCAGACCUUGCAAUGGAACUACCCACAGCUUUCCUGAUUCUCCAACUUGCGGAGGCUAGACUGUCCAUAACUGUGUGAGCCAAUUCCAUAUGAUAAAUCUCCUUCUAUACUUCUCUAUACACGCCCCACUGGCCCUGGUUCUCUGAAGAACCCUGAUGCGCUGGCACCCUGAUCUUGGGCUUCUGAGGCUCCAGAACUGUGAGAAAUAAAUGUUUAUCAGUGAAGUUCCCCAGCCUGGGAUAUUCUGUUAUAAUCACCUGAACCGACCGAGGCAGGCAUGAAUCCCAUGCAUGGGGGACACACCCUCACGACCUGUCACCACCCAAAGGCCGAGCUCCCUAUUCCAUGCCCUCGGUGGGUAGGGAUUCAACAUGUGAAGUUGUGGGACACACUCAGUCCAUAACAGGAGCAGAGAGGCAGCCUCCUCAGGUCUGGACGCCAGUACCCUGGGUGCAACCACGGGACCCUGGGAGAAGAUGUUACCUUGUGUUUGCCGUUUUUAAUAUGUUUUGCUUUUAUAAUAUAAAGUCAGUAUAGAAAAUACUGUACAUAUUUAAGUCUAUGGAACCAUUUAUGAAUACAUUGUACUGCUAGAAAUGCAAGUCAUGUUCUGUUGCUAAUAAACAAGAUGAUUCUGGUAACCUCCUGCCGUUGGCCAUCGGAGGCCGGGGCUGCAUCCAUCCCUGCGGGUCAUGAAACUUUCCACUGCAUUUUCACUGUUCUCUGAUCUGGGGGUUUUCAGCCUAUAAGUGUCUCUUCUCCCAGACAAGAGUGAAGACGGUGAAGGGGUGUUUUCGUUCGUUUUCCUCUCUCUGCUCUCUGUGGCCUCACUGCCAUCACGAUGGAAAACUCGUAAAUGAAUCAUAAGUGAAUACCACCCACCCUGGGAGACAAAGCCCCUCCCGUGGCCCCGCACACCCCCUUUAGCUCCAGGUUCUCUGGCCCCACUCACAGCGGCGCUCCGAGCCCCACUGUCUUCACUGUCUUUGUUUCCUUUCCUUACA